UGUAUUCCUUUUUAUUUCCAAUAACAGUGUUUUAUUUUCUUUUCUUUGGUUGAGAAAUUUCCUUGUUUAGGAUUUUUUAGGGAACUUGCUUGUUUAGGAUUGGAUGAGCAGAUUCUUUAUUUUUUUUAAUAACAGAGUACUUAAUUCUUUCCGUAUUACCAUUUGAUUAUGACAUUUGGCUUAGGUGAGAUAUGAUGCAUGAUCUUGUAUGAUAUGCACUCCUUAGUUUAAUUUAGACCGUUAAAUUACUCUAAAAAUCCAAUGGUGCAUAUUCUUUCUUUUUCCAGAGAAUCUAAUAUUUUAGACUCUUUUGGUUUUGGCAAACGUGAUGCUCCUUUUAACAUUGUUGUAUAUAUAUAAU
rnacentral:lncRNA from 1 species